rnacentral:rRNA from 1 species
CACGUAGGAGGCUAACGUUAUCCGGAUUUAUUGGGCGUAAAGCGCGUGCAGGCGGUAUGAUAAGUUGGGCGUGAAAGCUCCCGGCUCAACUGGGAGAGGUCGUUCAAUACUGUCAAACUUGAGGAUGGUAGAGGGAGGUGGAAUUCCGGGUGUAGUGGUGAAAUGCGCAGAUAUCCGGAGGAACACCAGUGGCGAAGGCGGCCUCCUGGACCAUUCCUGACGCUCAGACGCGAAAGCUAGGGUAG